rnacentral:rRNA from 1 species
GAUGAACGCUGGCGGCGUGCCUAAUACAUGCAAGUAGAACGCUGAAGCUUGGUGCUUGCACCAAGCGGAUGAGUUGCGAACGGGUGAGUAACGCGUAGGUAACCUGCCUCUUAGCGGGGGAUAACUAUUGGAAACGAUAGCUAAUACCGCAUAACAGUCGACAUUGCAUGAUGUUGACUUGAAAGGUGCAAUUGCAUCACUAAGAGAUGGACCUGCGUUGUAUUAGCUAGUUGGUGAGGUAACGGCUCACCAAGGCGACGAUACAUAGCCGACCUGAGAGGGUGAUCGGCCACACUGGGACUGAGACACGGCCCAGACUCCUACGGGAGGCAGCAGUAGGGAAUCUUCGGCAAUGGGGGCAACCCUGACCGAGCAACGCCGCGUGAGUGAAGAAGGUUUUCGGAUCGUAAAGCUCUGUUGUAAGAGAAGAACGAGUGUGAGAGUGGAAAGUUCACACUGUGACGGUAACUUACCAGAAAGGGACGGCUAACUACGUGCCAGCAGCCGCGGUAAUACGUAGGUCCCGAGCGUUAUCCGGAUUUAUUGGGCGUAAAGCGAGCGCAGGCGGUUAGAUAAGUCUGAAGUUAAAGGCUGUGGCUUAACCAUAGUACGCUUUGGAAACUGUUUAACUUGAGUGCAGAAGGGGAGAGUGGAAUUCCAUGUGUAGCGGUGAAAUGCGUAGAUAUAUGGAGGAACACCGGUGGCGAAAGCGGCUCUCUGGUCUGUAACUGACGCUGAGGCUCGAAAGCGUGGGGAGCAAACAGG